AAUUGUGUGGUUUUGAGUGAGUUUCUUAAUCCUGAGUUCUAAUUUGAUUGGACUAUGGUCUGAGAGACUGUUACGAUUUCAGUUAUUUGGCAUUUGCUGAGGAGCAGUUACACCUUUUCAUGUAUUAAGUCUAUAAUUUCUCUCAGCAGUUUCUGUAGUUUUCAGCAUACAGAUCUUGAAGAUGUUUUUUAUUAAAUGUAUCCUUAAAUAUUUUAUGUCUUUGAUGCUAUUGUAAAUGGUGUUUAUUAUUUGUUGCUCAUAUAUAGAAACACAGCUGGUUUUUUGCAUAUUGACCUGCAGUCCUGCUCCCUUGCUAAAUUCACUUAUUAGUUUAGCUUUUUUUGGGUAAAUUCUUUAGAAUUUUCUACAUAUAUAAUUAUGUAAUCUGUGAAUAUAGACAAUUCUGCUUUUUCCUUUUCAAUAUUUCUGCUGUAUUUCUGAUGCUUUUGUUGCCUUAUUGCACUGACCAGGACUUCAAGUACAAUGUUGAGAAGUGGUAAGAGCAGAUGUAUCAGCCUUGUUCCUCAUCUUAGGAAGCGUCUCUUUCACCAUUAAGUAUGAGGAAGCCGAGGCACUGAGAGGAGAAGUAACAAGCUCAAGGUCUCAAGUGAGUGUUCAAAGUAUGUCUGUCUCCAGAGCACAUAGUUUUAACCACUACACUAUACUGUAUCUCUUCAAGAAGUCCUUAAUAAGUGCUAUUUAUUAUUAUUUUUAUAAAGCUCAGAAAUAAAUGUUUUGGAGCCCACCUCCUGCAGUUCUGCCCCUGUCUCCCCUUCAUGUCUCUAAAAAAAAAAAAAAAAAAAGAAAAGAAAAAGAAAAA